rnacentral:rRNA from 1 species
GAACGCGAAGAACCUUACCUGGGCUUGACAUGUAAUGAACAACAUGUGAAAGCAUGCGACUCUUCGGAGGCGUUACACAGGUGCUGCAUGGCCGUCGUCAGCUCGUGUCGUGAGAUGUUUGGUUAAGUCCAGCAACGAGCGCAACCCCUGUUGCCAGUUACCAGCACGUGAAGGUGGGGACUCUGGCGAGACUGCCCAGAUCAACUGGGAGGAAGGUGGGGACGACGUCAGGUCAGUAUGGCCCUUAUGCCCAGGGCUGCACACGUACUACAAUGCCCAGUACAGAGGGGGCCGAAGCCGCGAGGCGGAGGAAAUCCUAAAAACUGGGCCCAGUUCGGACUGUAGGCUGCAACCCGCCUACACGAAGCCGGAAUCGCUAGUAAUGGCGCAUCAGAAUGUCGCGGUGAAUACGUUCCCGGGUCUUGUACACACCGA